rnacentral:rRNA from 1 species
GACGUAGGGCGCGAGCGUUGUCCGGAUUUAUUGGGCGUAAAGAGCUCGUAGGCGGCUUGUUGCGUCGGCUGUGAAAACCCGCAGCUCAACUGUGGGCUUGCAGCCGAUACGGGCAGGCUUGAGUUCGGUAGGGGAGACUGGAAUUCCUGGUGUAGCGGUGAAAUGCGCAGAUAUCAGGAGGAACACCAAUAGCGAAGGCAGCUCGCUGGGACGUUACUGACGCUGAGGUGCGAAAGCGUGGGGAGCAAACAGG